GGCACUGAAUAAGAACAUGGAAGACUGUGAGACUAUUGCCGCACUUAAAACAAGUUGGAGGAUCGCCCCCAGUCAAGAGAUGAGAACGGCUGGACAUUACUACCUCUUGGCGCUAUAGCUGGAUGACGGGACCUCAUCAUGAUCAGUAUAUUUCUUGCCUGUGCCUACAAAAACUGUUGUGUCGAGACACAAGAACCUUCACUCGUGGCCUGUGACAGCAAGCUUUUGUGGGCAACCAGUGUUCUCCUGCGAAGGCUGGCCUGCUCUGCCAGCGGCGCCAAUUACCUUCAAGAUUCGUGCAUGACUACCUUUGCUGCUAUUUGUCGCUCUUAUUAAUUACACUUUCUGCAUCUUUUCUAAUUUUUUAGGUAAAGUUUCAUUAUGCCACAUUGUGAAGUCGAUGCCUUGCUGCCUUUUCACUUGUAAUCAUGUUUUACGCCCUGCAUGAAAACCUCAACGUACACUGUAUUAAAAAAAAACAAAAAAACAGCA